UACGUAGGGCGCAAGCGUUGUCCGGAAUUAUUGGGCGUAAAGAGCGCGUAGGCGGUCCGGUAAGUCUUGCGUGAAAUCUCGGGGCUCAACCCCGAGCGGUCGUGGGAAACUGGCAGGCUAGAGUCCGGAAGAGGCGAGUGGAACUCCUGGUGUAGCGGUGGAAUGCGCAGAUAUCAGGAAGAACACCAGCGGCGAAGGCAGGUCGCUGGGACGGAACUGACGCUGAGGCGCGAAAGCGUGGGGAGCGAACAGG
rnacentral:rRNA from 1 species